GCUAGGGAAGGCUCCAGUGGAGAACCUCACUGUGUAGUUUAGCUACUGCCCUAAGGCUAGAGACUAAGCAGUGAAAGUAUCACUGCCCCAGGCCAAAGCUCCCUAUGGGGCUGUGGGUAUUAGCAGCUGACCCAGAGAAUAGCACAGCUCAGACUGCAAAUCUAUGCCCGGAAGUCUCUGCCUGGAAGCAAAUCACCCUGAGAAAGUUCUAUUGCCCUAGGCUGAGCUCCCCACUGUGCAGAUUAGAGGUUGCCACGGGCUGUGCUCCCCUGCUGUGCAGGUUUGCAACUGUCCUAAGGAAAAGCCCUAUAUUGUGUGUUGGGGCUGCAAGAUUGUGCUGCGAUCUGUGCUGUCACUUCCUGUUUGGGGUUCCACUCAUUCUGCCUCUAGUUCUCUCCCUGCUUGCACUGAUCUUUUCCCCAGCCCCUCAGGACAAACUUUUUCUGACGAAAUUCCAGAUUUCCUUCGGCUGGAAUGCUGUAUUAGUUUAACUACAAAAGAAUGCUGGUUUCAUGGACUAAAUAUGCCGACUCUGGAUGGAAAGUAAUAAUGACUCUGGAAGAAAAAUGGCUAGCUCCAAUUCUAACUAACCUCCAAGCCUUAAAAUCAUCAUGUCAAAUUUUGCAUCUUUGCCUCCCAAACACCUGACUUAAUUUAUUAAAUAUCUGGGUUUUUAACAAUGCAUAACUAC